rnacentral:lncRNA from 1 species
UUGAGGACAUCAUAGCUAAGAUGUUGUCAUUUGAAACAUAACUUACUUGUCAGAAAUUAUCUUACAGUAAUCACUAUUUUCACAAAGCACUGAAUAGAACAAUUUCCAUGACUAAAAAAGACUCAUUUGUUACCACUUAGGAAAUUGGAUAUUUCAGAUGACGGAAAUGCAUCGGUAAACAACUAGAGCCGUUUGAGUACCAUUUUGAUCUUUUGUGGUAAGUGGUUUUUGAACAUCUGCUCCCGUCUUUCAGGUUCAUUUCCCUGGUUACAGACAGAGAAAACUGCUAGACCAUCGCUUGUUCGUAGACUUUUGUCAUCUUUUGUCUAAAAUCGGCAUUUUUAGCGCCGAUUUCAAGCUUCAGUUAAAAGUAGCCUAAAGCUAAGGUUUAGAAACGCACAAAUGGUUGUUAACGUUCCCACCCUUUCUGGCUUGGUCUUCGAAUUGCUGAAACGCACACCAUUGCAUGGUGAGAAUUUCUAAACAUUUCCACAUUUUUUUUUUCCCUCAGGUAAAGAUUAAGAUCCCCACCCCAGACAAACCCAACUGGGCAUGCACACUUUCAACCGCUACUGGCGCCAGCCAGUCUGACUAACGUGGCAAGAGUUUAGCAGCCCUCCACAAAAGUUUCAGCUGUCGAUGAUGUCUUGCUGUAUUGCUACAUUGUUAGAUCCUAAUAUAAAGAACAGAAUGCGCCCAUCGCAUUCAGUUUGCCGCAGGGAGUUAGCGUGAAAGGAAAGUAAAGCUUAUCGUGGAAAAGGAAAGAUUCGAGUGAAGGACCGUAACAAGACGAUGGUGUAUUUGGAAAUUUUUGUCCUCGCUGUUUGCGCUACGUUUUGCCUUGUCCAGAGUGAAGGAGUGGAAAUGGCCUAACGGCGAAGAUGGAAUUCAGUGGUAUGUCCCGGCGAACGAAAGCAAAGAUUGAACUUCGCGGAGUUACUAGUUAUUGAACAUUGGAGAUGACAACGAGAUAAGAAUUUUAAUUUCAAAACUUUCGAUCAAAAUGGUGGCAAUAUAUUUGAAGCUCGCAUUGUAAGGUAGUUGUCGAGAUAUUUACUAGUACGAGGAAGUCGUGGUAUUGAAAUGUUUUGAACGACUGAUACAUAUUUUUUUCAAUAGCUAACCUUUGGCAGUAGGCAAAUCUGAUAUCUCAAUUGUGGUAGCCACCAUUUUGGUCGACAUGAUGAAGUGGAUAAACGACGUUGAGUUUUUACGGUGGCACUACAUUUGGUAACACCCAUCUAAAUUUUUGUGAUCAAAACGCGUACAGGAAAUUUAUAUGGCCUGUAAGACGAAAAAAAUAUAUUUGGCAGCAACGAAAUUCACUCUACAACAAAUAAGUUGUCUUGCUAGAAUUAAAAUCAUCGCGCAACAUUUUACUCUUCGCAGAUCGAGUAAAACGUCAUGUUAAGUGAGAUUGAUAGGACCGCUUGCCUGUAGCGAAACAGAAAAAAACAUAUUUUGGAACAAAAUAUGGAAAAAAAGCCUCAAAGAUGGAAAAAUUAAUGCCAGAACAAUGAAAAUUACUCUUGAAAGGGUAAGGAUGUCAUCUGAAUUAAUCGCAUGAACACACAGUUGUAUGAUAAAAUUAUUUGCAAACAUUUUUAACAAGGUGAAACGCAUCUACACUCCGGCUCAAUUUAAGGUCGAUUGCAAAUUACGAAAUUUUAAAGAAUUACGAACAUUUCGAACAGCUGCCGACAGCCAUCUGAGGUAUUCCGAAGAUCGCCGACGAUAUAAUUCCGGAGAUCACUCGAAGAUUUCAGAAGUCUUCCGAAGAUUUCCCAACGGUAACGAAGGCUUUGGGAACACUUGAAGGAAUUCGGAAGGCUAAAGGGAAAUUUCUCAGAGAUUAUAAACUGCAUUCAGAAUCAUGUGAUUGCCGAUGUAGUGGUCUGGCUGAAAAUGGAAACUUUUCUUGUACACCGUUGUACCACAGGUACUUUAAAAUAAAUUGGAAAUGUUUUCAGGUUAUUGGACAUACUACACAACUCUCAAUUUUUGAA